rnacentral:tRNA from 1 species
GAGGUAGUAGUGUAAUCUGGUAGCACCUGUGGUUUGGGUCCGUAAAAUCUAGGUUCAAAUCCUAGCUACCUCA